GCGCUCGAAGCGACCAAGCGGCAGCCAUUACCACCAGCGCCGGCGCAUUGUUCUGCCGUCGUUGAUGUCUCCCGCGGUUUCGAACAGCCAAGACUCCACGACUGCAGCCGUUUCAUUGCCAGCUGUAAGGAUGAAGCAGCUUCAUAGCCGGACAUCAGACGCCUUCUAAGUUCCCCUUUUCAGCAACAGAGGCCUAGGAUGCCAUUCUACCUGUGCUGCAUUGUGUGGCUGACCACUCCAAGGAUCUCAGCAGAAUCAUUACACAGGAAGAAGUCCUGCUGACCCCAAGCAUGGUGUGAAAUGAAGAAAUGGCACUCCACAUGCCUAGAGAGCUUCAUUUCCCCUGUUUCAUGCUUACUUGUUAACAUAGCCAGUCUGUUAGCUUAAUUUUUUGUUCUUCCCUAUUGAAUGCUCAAGAAAGGCACCAAAACUGUCAUUCAUUGAAAAAAAAAAUUGUGUUUGCAGAAACUGCCAUGCACAAAGCCCUUGACCUCAUUGAAUGUUUUUAAAAGAAAAUGCAGCUUCUGUGUGCAGCAAUAAGCUGAACAAGACGAGGGCAAACAGGAAGGU